ensembl:snRNA U6 U6 spliceosomal RNA
CUGAGCUAUAUCCCUGACCCUUAAAACUUUUUAAUUUGUAAUGAUACAGAAAAGACUAGCACAGCCUCUGAACAAGGCCAUUGAACUCCGGAAGCAUUCCGUAUUUUU